CAAAUUGAAGGAGUGUGCUGCGUGUCAACUGGGGGAGCGGAUUGCCUGGCACAAUGAGGUUGACAUCGAUUCAGAAAACGGGACAGAAGUCAAGUGACCCGAGUCUCGAACUCUAUUGAAACUAUUAGUGGGAAAAGGUAAAGGGACAAGAUGCAGACAAACUGAGACAGUGGUGCUGGGAUCCAUUUCUGUAAAGCAUCUAGGUAGAAAACAAGCAAAGACCAUGAGUCCCAUUAGGAUCCGGACUUGAGACUCGUUCUGGCUGCCUGUGGACUGUCUCUGAUGCUCCAUGACCAACGACAGAGAGUACAGCCUCACGGCUGCCAUCUGGGGCUUCACUGCUGGAAAGCUCUUCAGGCACCGAUAGGGAGAAUUCGGACCCCGGGAUCUCCUCAGGCAAGCAGUGAGCAUAUGACUGACUGUUCUCAAUCCAGUCCUCUCCUUAAACAGAAGGCCAGAGCCCCACCACCUUCCCUGUAGACACACACUUGCUUGGGCUUCCAGAGUCUGCAGUGCUCCAAAGGUGGCGACAUCCAUGGGUUCACAGCUAACAUGAGUGCACCCCUCGCCAGGCUCCAACGCAUCAUCGGUGGCCCCUUUUCUGAGGAAAUGGGUGCUUUUCCCCAUGUCUUUCUGCCUCUGAGAGGAAGCAGGCACGAACAACACGAUACUGGGUCACAAGGCAAUAUACUGGGUCAUUCACUGUGACAGAAACUUCAGGGGUUGUCUCUGAGGAACCAAACCCCACCGGCCAAGCCCAUUUCCUCUCUUGCUUACAUUCGUUUCUUCUUGAAAUUCUUUUUGUCGGUUCCUGGGUUAAAUUAUUCCUCUGAACCAUUUUCAUGUCUCCUGAAAAGAAACUUGGGGUUCUCCUAAUAUUUUGGGGAUUUAAAAUCAAAUUACCCGAGCUCUCAUUCGGACUAAAAGCAAUAUGAAGAUACGUUAUAAAAACAUAGCAGAAAUAAAAG
rnacentral:sRNA from 1 species